UGCGUAGGCGGUUAGAUAAGUCAGAGGUGAAAGCCCGCAGCUCAACUGUGGAAUUGCCUUUGAUACUGUUUGACUUGAAUCAAGUUGAGGUUGGCGGAAUGUGACAUGUAGCGGUGAAAUGCAUAGAUAUGUCAUAGAACGCCAAUUGCGAAGGCAGCUAGCUGGACCUGCAUUGACGCUGAGGCACGAAAGCGUGGGGAGCGAACAGGAUUAGAUACCCUGGUAGUCC
rnacentral:rRNA from 1 species